rnacentral:rRNA from 1 species
AUGGAGGCUGCUGUUGUCACCGUUUCCACGGGGGUGAUGAAGCCCCUCCUGUCCAAGCUCUUCAAGCUGCUGCUGGAGGAGCACGGGAAGCUCAAAGGCGUCCGCCAUGACGCCAAGUUCAUAGGAGACGAGCUUCGCAGCAUGAAGGCUGCACUGGAGGUGCUUGCGGAUGAAGAACAACUCGAACCUGCGAUGAGAAUUUGGCGGGAUGAUGUACGUGAGCUUUCUUAUGACAUGGAGGAUUGCAUUGAUGUCUUUGUGGCUCAUGUCGACCAUGAGCCCGAUGGGCGUACCACACUCAAGAAGUUCGUUGACAUGUUGAAGAAGCCGAAACAUCGCCAUCAGACUGCUAGUGAGAUAGUUAAACUCAAGGCCCGUGCAACUCAGGCAAGCGAGAGGCACAAGAGGUAUAAUAUUAUCCGGCCAACACCUUGCAUUAGCUCUUGUUCCAUUGACCCCCGGCUGCCGGCGCUUUACGCGGAGGUUGAUGAACUUGUCGGCAUUGAUGGUCCUAAGGACGAUAUCAUCGACUGGUUUCAGUGGGAGGCUACUUCUACACAGCCUCAAGUGCUGUCUAUUGUUGGUUCUGGCGGUCUUGGCAAGACUACUCUAGCAAACCAAGUCUAUCAUGCAAUGGAAAGCCAUUUUUCAUGUGCAGCGUUUGUGUCGGUUUCUCGAAAUCCUGAUAUGAGAAAGACUCUAAGAGAUAUUGCUGGAGGAGUGGGGUUCUCAGACUACACACUGGAUGAUCAUGUGCAACAACUGAUCAGUAAACUCAGGCAAUAUCUUAAAGACGAAAGGUACUUUGUUGUAAUUGAUGAUGUGUGGAGCGCGGACGCAUGGGAAACUAUCAGGCUUGUAUUAUUGAAUAAUAACCAUGGGAGUAGAAUUAUCACUACAACACGUAAUACUGAAGUCGCAUCAUGUUGUUCUUCGGGUGGUGGUCAUGUUUAUAGAAUGGAACCCCUUGCGUUUGAUGACUCCAAAAGGUUGUUUUUUAGAAGAGCAUUUGGUCCUGAGGAUUUAUGCUAUCCUCAUCUGGAAAAAGUCUCUAAUGAGAUAUUAAGAAAAUGUUCUGGCCUACCAUUGGCUAUUAUUACUGUGUCUAGUUUGUUGGCUGAUCAGCAUGCAGAAGAUGAAUGGAAGAGAGUGUUAGCUGCUAUUGGUUCUGCACUUGCAAAUGAUUCUGGUGCUGAUAAGAUGACAAAGAUAUUAUCUCUGAGCUACUUUGAUCUUCCUCACCAUCUGAGAGCCUGUUUGUUGUACUUGAGUAUAUUUCCAGAAGAUUCUGCUAUCUGGAAACAACAUUUGAUACAUAAAUGGAUUGCUGAAGGAUUCAUUCAUGAGAAACAAGGGCGAAGUCGAUAUGAAAUAGGUGAGACUUAUUUUAACGAGCUUAUUAAUAGAAGCUUGAUCCAACCGGUUGGUGCAACAUUUAGCCAGGUAGAGUCAUGCCAAGUUCAUGAUAUCAUUCUGGAUUUCAUCACAUGCAAAGCUGCCGAAGAGAAUUUUGUCACUAAAUUCAGUGAUGUAGAGGAUGGGCACAAUUCAUGUUACAGAGUCCGGAGGCUUCUUGUCGGGAAUAACAGUAAUGAAAAGGUUGCCAUAUCAGCCCCGAUUCUCUCUCAUGUUCGGUCCCUCAUUAUAUAUGCACAUGCUCCUCAAGUUUCUUUGUUGACUUUCCCAGUUCUUCGUGUCUUGGACCUAGGAAAGUGCUGGUGGUUAGAAGAUCAUCAUGUUGCAAAUAUUGAAAAGCUGCUUCUUCUGAAGUACCAGUGCCUUGCAAAUGUUACACUCCUCCCAAAAAAAUUUGGAGAACUGCAGUACUUGGAAACACUGGGCAUAGCAAAUACCAGAAUUCUAGAAAUGCCAUUAGCUGUUACAAGCCUUCAACGGCUGGCCAGUCUAAAUGUUCAUUACCACAUUAGUUUUCCGGAUGGAAUGAUUGGUAAGAUGCAAAGCUUGGAAGAUAUAGAGACGCUUGGUGUCCACUCCUAUGAACAAGGGAAAUCACUACAAGAAUUCAGCCAGCUAACCAAGAUGAGGAGGUUGAAAGUACAGCUGGGGAUGUUUGAAUUGUGGGAAGGAACAGGUCAAAUUGAGGACCUUCACGGUUACUUGGGAACAUUAGUAUCUUCAUGCAACCUUCGUCAUCUAAAUAUAUCCAAGCUAAGCUCGGAUGUCUUAGCUGUCAAAACUUACUUUCCACUGUCACUGGAGUCGUGGUGCCCGACUACUCCCUGCAGCCUUCAGGAGCUUCACAUAACAUACUGUUACAUUGACAAGGUUCCAAACUGGAUGAGCUUGCUUCGCAAUCUUAGAGAAUUAGAAAUCUAUGUCGUCAGUGUGAGACCAGAAGAUGUUAGAAUCCUUGGAUCAAUACCAACUUUGCUUAUCCUCAAACUAAAGACUUUCAAUGGCACCGAUGGAAGAAUUCUCAUUCAUGGGUUCAGCAAUUUGAAAUAUUUCCAUUUGGAACUCCUUUAUUGUGGGACCUCACUGGAGUUUGAAGAGGGAUCAAUGCCAAGGCUUGAGCACCUGGAGCUGGAGUUCCGUGUGCAUCAGAUGGAUUGCCUGAAUGGUUCUCUCAAUUUCGGUAUCCAACACCUCUCUGCCCUCCGCAAAGUUGAGGUCUGUAUUUUUGGCAACUUUGGCAACAAAGACAAUGCGAUGGCAGGUCUGGAAUGUUGCUUUGGCAAAUCCAUUGGAAUCCUUAUUGAAGCUGACAUUGAGAUGCUUCCCAAUUGUUCCAGUUUCCUUUUACAAUAUGGAAAUGUAGCAUACGGAAACGUGGCCUGCGAACAUUACACAAAAAUGGUAAGUUCUCUACUAGAAUCGGUAGCAUUGGUUACUUCGGUUCAUCCUCUUAAUUUUCUACUCACCACUUUAUUUCUUUCUUCCAUGCCGCAAAAUUUUGGCCAGCCGUUACUGAAGUAUCACCAAAGAAGUAGCCAUGGACAGGGGCACUGGAAGCUAGCUAUCCAUGUGCCAGAACCAUAA